GCGUUGUUCGGAGUUACUGGGCGUAAAGGGUGUGUAGGCGGUUCUUUAAGUUUGGUGUGAAAUCUCCCGGCUUAACCGGGAGGGUGCGGUGAAUACUGAGGGACUAGAGUACGGGAGAGGAAAGUGGAAUUCCUGGUGUAGCGGUGAAAUGCGUAGAUAUCAGGAGGAACACCUGUGGUGUAGACGGCUUUCUGGACCGUAACUGACGCUGAGACACGAAAGCGUGGGUAGCAAACAGG
rnacentral:rRNA from 1 species